GACGAACGCUGGCGGCGUGCUUAACACAUGCAAGUCGAACGGAAAGGCCCUUCGGGGUACUCGAGUGGCGAACGGGUGAGUAACACGUGGGUGAUCUGCCCUGCACUUCGGGAUAAGCCUGGGAAACUGGGUCUAAUACCGGAUAGGACUACGAAUCGCAUGGUUUGUGGUGGAAAGCUUUUGCGGUGUGGGAUGGGCCCGCGGCCUAUCAGCUUGUUGGUGGGGUGAUGGCCUACCAAGGCGACGACGGGUAGCCGGCCUGAGAGGGUGUCCGGCCACACUGGGACUGAGAUACGGCCCAGACUCCUACGGGAGGCAGCAGUGGGGAAUAUUGCACAAUGGGCGCAAGCCUGAUGCAGCGACGCCGCGUGAGGGAUGACGGCCUUCGGGUUGUAAACCUCUUUCAGUAGGGACGAAGCGCAAGUGACGGUACCUAUAGAAGAAGCACCGGCCAACUACGUGCCAGCAGCCGCGGUAAUACGUAGGGUGCGAGCGUUGUCCGGAAUUACUGGGCGUAAAGAGCUUGUAGGUGGUUUGUCGCGUUGUUCGUGAAAUCUCACGGCUUAACUGUGAGCGUGCGGGCGAUACGGGCAGACUAGAGUACUGCAGGGGAGACUGGAAUUCCUGGUGUAGCGGUGGAAUGCGCAGAUAUCAGGAGGAACACCGGUGGCGAAGGCGGGUCUCUGGGCAGUAACUGACGCUGAGAAGCGAAAGCGUGGGG
rnacentral:rRNA from 1 species